GAAAGGACCUAGAUAUGCCACUAUGCUUAUAAGUAAAAAAAACUUUUAUUAUACCAAAAUAGUGCCUAAUAAGAUUCUGGACUCCCUCAAAUGUAUAACCUUUCAAGUAGGUCUUGAGUUACAAAGGCAGCUACAGAGUUGUUUACAAAUCAGCACUUUGUUCCUCACACAGAUGAGACAUCCAAUGAGGAUCCAAAUAAUUUCAAAGCUUUCCUCCCCUUGUUAAAACUUCAUAUGCAAUCAGGGAAUAACAAAAACAAAAAGAUUCAUUGUGAAGAAUAUUUAUUAGCACAAUACUUCAAAAAGUAAGAAAACGGUAGAUAAUACCAAUGAGAUUAUUGAAUCAUCACAACUCAUGAGGCAAAAACUAAGUGCAAACAUGACACAAAAGUAGAAUAUGUUACUUUUAACAGAGAUGAACAAUCUGAAAAUUCAAAGAAGCGAUUUCAUGGCACCAUACAUUGAACAAAAAAUGAAAGCUUUAAGCAGGUUCAAAGGCUAACAGGCUGGAUUCAUUAAAAUACAAAACUAACAGGGACAAAAAAUCAUAUCUAAUUUAUGAACAUUAAGAUAAAGGAUCCUAGAUGAAGAUCUACAUACCUAUAGCAGCAAAAUCAAAGUGAAACGAAAAAUAAGCCUCGGACAGAAGCUAGAAAAGAACAGCAACAAGAGCAAACAACACAACAGGAAAUCAACAAGACCCAAAGAACAACAGCUGAUUUGAGUUCCUCCCAGAAUCAGAAUGAACCAGCAUAGAGUAAACCAGUAUAGAAACUAGAACAAAAGCUGAUUUUUUGAGAGCAAGAAAAGUGCAGAGAGCCUUUUUCUUUCUCUUGUCUGUAUGGAAAUCAAUUUUUUAGAGAGAAUGCUAAGUGAUAGUCUGUGUGAGUGAGUGAGGGUCAGCCUCUUUAUAUAGAAAACAUAAGGAUAAGAAUAAUAGAGAAUAUUCUAUCCUAAAAAAUUAGAAAUGUCAGCUGUAAAAGAGGAUAGUACAUCAUCUUUUUAACAGACCUGGCACAACUGUCCUUUUUACCAAUUUUCAGCAUCUUUCCACACCAAAAAAGGGACAGUUGUCCAAUACUAGAACCUUCUAAUAUUUUUACCUAAAGUUUAUCCAUUCUUACUUCCAAAUUAACCUCUUUAAGUUCUAUUUAUUGCAAGUUCAAACCCCUAAUUUCUAUUUGCUAUCAACUGAGGCUUUCAUUAUGACCCACUGAAUUCGGAUAGAACCCAAAACAAAUAUCAAACCAGACCUCAAACGUAGAUCAAUCAAUCAACAGUGCAUAACACUUGGUUAAAACUGUAGAACUAAUUUAAAUAGCUAUUUGUGGUUAAACUAAUUAACAUGCAUUUAAGUAAUCUAAUCACAGAAACUAAUCUAAUUAGGUUGAUUCAACUAGACGAAACAAAGUAAGGUUAACUAACUAACAAUGCUGUUAACUAAAGAAUUAUGCAACUAAUUUAAGCUAAACCUUAUUUUAAUUUAACAUACAGUAGUAAAGGACAAAGCAAACAAAAUAAAGAUAAAAUUGAAACCUAAAUAGUAACGUAAAAAUAAAAAUAAAUGAGAAAAACAAAAAAGAAAAGGAAAAAGGAACAAACAACUGAUUUUGCUGGAAACUGAAUAGGCAACUGAGGCGAAUCGAUGAGCUAUGAAAGCAUCGGAGCCCUGCUGGCCAGUGUUGACUUGGUCGGAAUCCGGCAAGCUUUGAAAUGAACCAAAAAUGACGCUAAUCGAUUGUUCUUACUGAGAACAAUCGAUUGGCAUAAACUUUGGCUCAAAUCGAGCCUUGAAACAGAUAAAAAUCAGAAAGAGAGACAGUUUAGGAUUUUUGUUUCUUUUGAAAUUUCAAAUCUGAAAUUGAAGCAAAUGGAUAAGGAUUUUGGAGAAAUUGUUGGAAGAUAUGAGAUGAGGAGAGUAUGGUGGUUGUCUGGUGUAAAAUUGGGUGGAAUUGGAGGUGGUCCACCGCCGUGAGGCGAUUUCCGAGCGGAGGACGACGGAGGAAUUCUAGGCGGCUAGGGUUCUGAGGGAAUUGGACGGCGGCUAGGUUUAGUCUUUGAGAGAGAAGAGAGAAUGAGGGGGGGUUU
rnacentral:lncRNA from 1 species